GGGGGAUUUUAUUUUUCCAUUUUUUCCUUUUUUUUCCUUUUUGAAAUGAAGAGCACUGUAAGAGAUAGAACAGGCAAAACAAAAUAGUUAGCAGUAAUAAUAAUUAACAUAUAAGACAUCGCCGAGUGAACCCAUCUAACUAUAAUUUGAUCAGACAAAAUUAAAUCUACUUUUGGACCACUAGACCGGGGAUAGUCCCCAGCGGAGUCGCCAAGCUGUCGCAAUGGAUUUUGCGGUCGCCUGGACGAUCACUCACCGAAGUGGAAAAGAGUGAGGAGUCGCCACUUUA
rnacentral:misc_RNA from 1 species